UUAAGAGAGAGAGGUUAAGACAGAGAGUACUGCGAGUGUGUCAGUCUCCCAAGUUGCGGGGCAUGAUUUUAUAUGUGUAUCCUGUGACAUUUGUACUCUCUUUUUGUAUGUUUUCAAUUGAAUCCAACUGUUGUGUACGAUACGCAUCAAGCGGCGGGAUGUACGAUGGAUUCAAUCAACCAUGAGUCAGGCUCCAUUCAGCCGGCCCUGAGCGAGAGCAGUCCUCCAGAUCACUGCGUUUAUUUCAGCCCCCCUCUUGUCCUCACCAACAGCCCAGCAGACCGCGACGACGAGGGGCGAAACACAGAAGAACUGUGUGUGGACGUGAACAAGUGUGUGGACGUGAACAAUGGUACUCUCCACUCCCGGCGGGCUCCGCCGUCCCUCUUAAGAAACAAGAGCAAAUUGGGUGUGAUUGCGGACUCGAGUGUCGAGGCAGGGAAGCAAGGAAAAAAAAAAAGGAAAAAAGAAAAUAACAACCGGACCUUCUCUUUAGUUGUGCCAUCCAGAGGAAUAUAUCAAAGUGAGCCUCAUUCUAGAUUAUUUUUUGUUUGGUUGUUUAUGGAGAAGAGAAGCAGAGCUCAUUACAGAAGGACAAUGCCACUCGUGCUUAAUCUGAGUUCCUGGCCCGUGCCUCCAUGCCUAGUGUUUGUAAGGCACUUGUAGCCAUGCCGUUAAUGUGCGCCGUACGCUUUAUAUGCUGUUGUCAUGACACUGGGCGUGGGGUAGUUUCUGCUGUGGUGUGGAAGUCCCAGAUCUGUACGGUAAAAACAAUGUCGGAUAAUUAUUUCCUGCAAGCAAACAACCUGAUCCUGCUUGUAAGGGUCACCGUGUUUCUGUUUGUUCCUGAAUAGUAACCAUAGAGUCUCCUCUCUGUAGCCCCUCCUCUGCCUAUUGGUGGGUAGCAUGUAGCAUGACUAAAACAGUACUACACGUUCCCCUCUUCGGGUUUUGUAAAAUAGAAGCUCUGAGUUCAUGUUUUGGCCGCUUGUCCUCGUUAUGUAAAAUGUGAUUAUUUUCGGGACGGUGUUGGUGGAGUAUUUCGGUCGCUGAUUGCUUUGCAUGUGGUCCUUCUCCUUGGGAAGACUUGGGUAUGGGGAGGAUAACAGGAGUGACUCUAGACAGUCCAAUUACCCGACCACUUCUGCACGUUGGCCAAGUGGAGUGUUUCUUCUGUGUGGAUCUGCAGAAACAGCCGCCUUAUCAAAAAACCCUGUUUUAGUUAUAUGGUAUGUCGUACUGCAUCUAUAUCUUAUCAACAAGGGAACCCGUUGACCUGAUUGGAGUUAAUACCGGAUGUUUGAUUUGGUUUUGCAUGUUAUUUUUUUAAAUAUGUCAAAAUUAUUUAUGAGUAUGGUAUGGUCACCCCUAACUGAAUAAACACAUCUACGUCCAAAUGCUCUUUUAGGCAUCAUAUUUUGGUUUUGUGUAGUAGUACAGCAGUAACAACACACAGAUGAUUCUGUUACUCCUUGAUGGAGGGUGGAAUCACUACUUUAUUUCUCACGUGGUCUCACAACAUAAGCCUCGGGUAACGAGUUAAAUGAUGUCUGGGAGAAGAUACAUCAGAUCCGCCGGCUGAUG
ensembl:lncRNA